AUUGAACGCUGGCGGCAGGCUUAACACAUGCAAGUCGAGCGGAGAUGAGGUGCUUGCACCUUAUCUUAGCGGCGGACGGGUGAGUAAUGCUUAGGAAUCUGCCUAUUAGUGGGGGACGACAUUCCGAAAGGAAUGCUAAUACCGCAUACGCCCUACGGGGGAAAGCAGGGGAUCUUCGGACCUUGCGCUAAUAGAUGAGCCUAAGUCGGAUUAGCUAGUUGGUGGGGUAAAGGCCUACCAAGGCGACGAUCUGUAGCGGGUCUGAGAGGAAGGUCGGCCACACUGGGACUGAGACACGGCCCAGACUCCUACGGGAGGCAGCAGUGGGGAAUAUUGGACAAUGGGCGGAAGCCUGAUCCAGCCAUGCCGCGUGUGUGAAGAAGGCCUGUUGGUUGUAAAGCACUUUAAGCGAGGAGGAGGCUACCUGGAUUAAUACUCUAGGAUAGUGGACGUUACUCGCAGAAUAAGGACCGGCUAACUCUGUGCCAGCAGCCGCAGUAAGAC
rnacentral:rRNA from 1 species